ensembl:lncRNA
GGUCAUUGCAUCAUUUCCUAACAUAUCUGGUCACCACAGAUUCCUUAAAUCCAAGACUUGGGAAUAUGGUCCCCUUAGAAUUAAUUAAAUUAAUUUCCUGUGUAUAAGCCACAGGAGAGUGUUUUAUGCAAGUUAAAAAAAACAUUAACUGCUCUCGUGUAUUAAUCUGAAGAAAUUUAGCAAAAUAAAUGUAUAAACUGCGACUAAUAGUUGGGAAAUUACAGUACAAGGUUAUAUCUGAAAUUUGUCAAAAUUGAGUUGUAGUAAACUAUAUUUAAUUCCAAGGGGACGAUAUGUUGAAAGGAACUUUUGAGCGUUGGUCACUUUCCUGUUGUAUAAGAUCGCAGCAAAACUUUGGACAGAAGUAAAUGUUCUGAUGUUUGGCAAUGUAUUAUACAUUGUACUGAUUCUGUUUCUUACUGUUCCAUAUGCAGAGACAAUGAAAAGACCAAAACCAAAAACCUUCUGCAGUAAUGGAGCCAAAAGCCUGAACUUGCCAGCCAUACCACCAUUUGCACCAUCAGCACCUGCUGUGACAGUCCCUGAACCAAGACAAGAUGAAAGAGAACUCCGGCUCUACCAGAUGCUGGAAGAGAUAAAGAGUCAAGUCAGGCAGAAUACGCUCCUCCUUCAGGCCAUUAUGCGAAGAGAGAAUGCAGCUGAAGUUGUAAAUGAGGAGUUUCAGUUUCCAUUAAGGAGCAUGACAGGCAUAAAAGAUCUGGAGGAUAGGCUGUCAAACAGAGACACACAACGUUCUUUAACAAGAUAUCUUACCAGCUUGGGUGGAACAUCUGCCAAAGACAUUGUCCACAGAAUCAUGAGGGAAAUAAUAACCAAUGAGUUGGCCAACAAUUUUAAUUGGCAAGGGAGAGGACAGAAGAG